UCAUUAAAUUAUUGCUGUUUUUCAUAGGUCUCUCAGUAGUUUAACUUUCCUGCCAAAACGAUUCGAGCCAACAAUGAGAUUAUAGCUCAUUUAAAAUGUUAAAGCCAUGAAAUUAAGAUCCGGAAAGUCUAUUUUUAGAAAUUAAAACGGCUGGGCGCGGUGGCUCACAGCUGUAAUCCUAGCACUUUGGGAGGCCGAAGUGGGGGGAGGGGUGGAUCACCUGAGGUUAGGAGUUUGAGACCAGCUGGCCAACAUGGCAAAACGCUGUCUCUACUAAAAAUACAAAAACUAGCCGCGCGGGGUGGCAGGAGCGUAUAAUCCCAGCUACUGGGGAGGCUGAGAUAGGAGAAUUGCUUGAACCCAGGGGACAGAGGUUGCAGUGAGCAGAGAUUGCGCCACUUCACUCCAGCCUGGGUGAGACAGCCAAUCUCCGUCCCAAAAAAAGAAAAACGUUCAAGAUCUCAAGAUGAGGCCUUGAUUAACGUGGCUCAACAAGUAUUUAUAAUUGGGCUAGGCAGUGUUCUAAGGAAUGAGGCUGUAGCAGCUCACCAAAAUAUAGUGCCUGCUCUCAUAGAGUUCACAUUGUAGUGGGAAAGGCCAAAAAAUAAAUAAAUAUCUACUAUGCCAGAUGGUGAGUCAUAGAAAACUAAAGCAGAGUAAGGAGACAUGGGGAGGGAGAAUGCUAUUUUAAAUAUGUUGGUGUGGGAAUGCCUCUCUGACAUUUGAGCAGAGAACUAAGAAAGUGAGAAAAUGAGCCAUUUAGCUACCCAGGGUUAAAAUAUUUUACACAGAAUCAUCAGCAAAUGCAAAGACCCUAAGUGGAAGUGGGCUUGGCAUGUUUGAGAAAUAGGCAGGAGGUCAGUGUAGGCUGGAAUUCAGUGAGCGGUGGGAGAGUAGCUGACUAAAUCAGAAGAGGGAGUAGGGUACUAGAAGGGUAUAGUUGUAGAACCUUGUAACCUUUCAAUUUAUUCUGAACGAAAAGGAGAGCCAUUGGAGGAGUGGCCAAAUCUGAUUUGAGUUGGGAGAGGAGAGCUGCACUGCAGAGAACAGAUUGAGCGUAAGGGCAACUAGACAUUAGAAGCCUGUUGUAAUGAUCCAAGUAAAUAGACUGCUGACAGACCAGAGGGCAGGUGGUAAAAAUAGUGAGAGUCCAGAUAAAUUUCUAAGAUAGAGAAAACAGGAUUUGCUGAUGUACUGAAUGCGGGGUAAGAAAGGAGUCAACAAUAAAGCCAGUGAAACUCGCAUUUGAACCAGAUCAUUUUAUCAGGUCACAGCAAAUCAAAUCUGUUAGUCAAAUAGAAACAAUGUCACUUGUGUCAUACACAGGCACACACUGCAGCACUGCAGGAAAAAAAUCACCAGAUAUCUUCAGGGUAAAGACAUGUCAACCUCAGACCAGACGUAUAUGUAAGGUUUUUUUGUUUGUUUGGGUUUUUUUUUGAUACGGCAUCUUGCUGCUCUAAUCACCCAGGCUGGAGUGCAGUGGCAUGAUCUCAGCUCACUGCAACCUCUGCCUCCCGGUUCAAGUGAUUUUCCUGCCUCAGCCUCCUGAGUAGCUAGGAUUACAGGCGUGUACUGCCAUGCCUGGGUAAUUUUUGUAUUCUUAGUAGACAGGGUUUCACCAUGUUGUCCAGGCUGGUCUCAAAUCCUGAACUCAAAUGAUCUGCCCAUCUCAGUCCCCCAGAGUGCUGGGAUUACAGGCGUGAGCCACAGCACCCUUCAGGUUUUUCUUUUCUUUUUUUUAAAUAAACUACAGAUUUAUCUAUAACCAAAUAUUCCAUUGGUAAAAGCAAAACACAUAUACCUUGUGAACACUGACUCAUAGUCAAAUGGAUCAAAAAGAGCUCAUGAAGCCCUAGUAGCUGAAAAGACUGUCUAGGAAGAAUCCUUAUCAAUGGCUGUAUGGUGCCCAGAGUAUUGAAAUAGGCUGAUAUGUACUCUUUCUUCACCUUAAAGUACUGCUAAGCUGCAGCUAAAUAGUUAUACAGUAUUUCAGAGGUUGGGAAGGUUGUCAGAACUGAAUCCAACACACUUAUUCUCUUUAGCUUUUUCUCACCUUUGUGGUGGAUAGGGAACUUGUUCGUAGCCACUGGCCUCCUGGCUGGGAGCAAAUGCUAACUGAAACACAGAGAUACCUGGCCAAAGAGGAUCUCUGGUCCAGGGAUCCUUAGAGCAGAAUCUAGCUUUAACGGCUUUUCUAUUCAUUUCCCCAUCAAGCUUGCUCCAAAAAUGCUUGUUUGACUUCAUGAAGCACAAUUAAUGUGUUUAUCCCUAAUUACCAUGCAAUACAUACCAUUAUCAGAUUAACUUUGCUGUAAGUGAUAUUUGAUUAUUAAAAUUGAAAUCUCUCAGUGUACAUAAGUUUUUAUGUUUUGUUCUUCAUACACCUUACUGGCCCCAUACAAUUAAAAAUAAAAUUAGAGGUAAUAUCAAUUAUUGAAACUAAUGUUUCUCCUUAGGCUAAUCCAGAUGAGAUGUUAUUUGCCGGGAUCAGUGUAAAUGCAAUUUCUCUGUAAGGAGAGAAUCUUGCUAGAAAAACAUUUUCUUAAGGAAAAAUGAUGAUGUAAUACUAAAAAUAAUUCUCCUUUGAAAGAGAUCUUAGCCACUGGGGUACCAGAAAGGUCUAGCCUUCUUGACUCAAACAUAGUGCUGGCAACAGGUGUAUUUAAAAAGCUACUAGUGGUAUUGGCAGCCACUGAUUUUGGCAGCUAAAUGGUGAUGAGGCUUAGUCAAGCUGUUGAAAUGUCUGGACUAAACUGGGCCAAGAGGAGGAAGUCAAAGUGCAGACUACAGACAACUAAAGGAAGAUCACUUUUCUCUGGCCCUGGCUGUGGUCACAAUACAGUGUCAGAAAAUAAAUCUUGAUCUUACUUUGAAAACACCCAUGAAAAAGAGUAAGAAAGUUACAUUUUUACCUCUGCGUUUUUACAUUUCAUUGUUAAUGGAUCAUGCAGAUGAACUUCCCAUGAAAAUGAUAAAAUUGGCCUAAAUUUUAUUCUCACAUAAAAUCCCUAGAAUUCAAAAUCACAGAAAGACAACUCUCCUGUGUCCCAAUUAUCUAGUUAUGGUAUUUUGAGAAUAGUUUGUGGUUAAAAAUAGUGGCAUUACCACCAGUGGCUUUUCCCGACUAUUUUUAUAGUAGUUAUAAAACUGAGGAAACAUUUCAAUAUACUAUGCAUAUGUUUAAUGUAGGGAAAUGUAAUGUUUUAUAUCGGUUGCAAAACAGGAAAGAGACAGUACAACUGGCAGUUUAUGUCAUGAUUUCCUUUGGUCAACAGAAUACAACUGGAUUUAUGUUUCUUUAUAGUAGAAAAGCCAAAGAGCCAAUAUGCAGUAAGCAAGAAGUCACAGCAGUGAAGGAAAUAUAUUCAGAAAUUAUUUUCCUUUUUAUUCUUGUACACCCCAUCCUUGAUGUGGAGCCAAACUGUGAAGCCAUUUCUCAGGACCUCAUUUCCUCAACAAUGGUGGCAUUUUCAGUCACAGGUAUUCACAAGUACCUCUCAAUUAUCUAUGCUAACAGCUGUGAUGAUGCAGUAAUCAAAUCCCAAAGAUAACAUUUUAAAUUAUAGGUUUCUUUGGAAUAUUUGGUACAUGUGCAUGUGGCUACCUAGAAGAGAUGUUACAAAAAUCUUGUGAUUUCACAAAGCUAAACGUAAAGAUUUCAGAAUCCUGUAUCAUCUCUCUAUUCUGUCUCUCUCUCUCUCUCUCUCUCUCUCUCUCUCUCUCUCUCUCUCUCUCUCUUUCCCCCUCCUGACAUAUCCUUUUCUGUGCUCUUCAGUUCAGUCUUGGGUUGCACCAGAUCCACUCAGGUCUGUGCAUUAGAGGCAAUUGCCUAUUUCUUAAUAGGAAAGAAAAUAGAAGAUAAUAAGGUUCUGUUUACUUUUAGUAUUCCCUCAUAGUUAAAUCUAGAGGCUAUCCUUCAACUACAGAGUCAAAAGUAUACCCCAAAAAAUACCAGAAGUGAAAAGUUGCAGUGGUAUUGCUUUCAUCUUUUGAACCUUCUUUGUUCAUACUUAAGCCUUUAUUGCUUAAAACACACAUCUCUUCCAUCUUUUUUUUCAGUUGUUCCACUAAAUGGCAGAAGUGCUCUUUAAAACACCUUAGUAAAUAUUUCUUCAGCCAUUCAAUUGCAGUUUUAAUGUUCAGUCUAUUUGAAAAUGCAAGAAGGAUGUGAGUAAAACCAGAUUUGGAAUCAUGCCACAUCAAAUCCAAAGACAUACUGAAAGCAGGCUCUACACGAUAGCAACAAGCCUAGUUAAUCAUAAACAGCCUUGGCACCCCUCAUAAUUCUGCCAUGGAAUUCACCAUUACUAAUAAGGUUCACAUUAUGGAGAUAUUUUAGUUAUUACAUCACUCAGUCGGCUUUUCCAUGCAAAUGUUGGCAUUGUGUAGAGGAAGCACCAGGAACAACAUUUUCCAGAAUUAACACAGUGUCAUUUCCAAAGCUUGAGAAUCUGUGCGGGGAAGUGAGAGGUAUGAUUACAAACUUCAUGACGUUCUACCUCUUCCUUAAAAGUAAGGGCAAGAACCUUUAAAUUCAUAAGGCCUUCAAGCACUGGAGAGGCCAGGCAAUAUUUAUCUAUAGGCUUAUGGGAUAAUCUGUUCUUUCAAGGGGUAGAAGACAAACAGAAUGCCACUCCAUGGAAACUGCAAACAAUCCCGAUUGGACAAUACUGUUACGUUUGCCAAUCAGUACUGUUUUUUACUAUAUAAUAUUACCUAUUACAUAUAAUGUUUAAUCUGUAGAACGUUUAAAUUAUUUUAACAAUGUUUAUAUAUGUUUCUAAAAUACCUUCUAUAUAUUCAUAUAAUGUACCAUUUGAGCAACCAAGAUAUGUAACUGUUUAAACUUCUGUUUUUAUUUGUCCUCUCCUUGCACAAAUUGAAAGAUAAAGAAAAAAACUUUUUUUGAAGGCAAAUAACAAAAAUAUUACUUCUUUAUGUUCUAAAUUAAAUGAAAUUAAUAUUUUAUCAGGUCUACGUCCUAUGACUCCUAUCUAAGAUUAUAUUCGGGUAUGUUUUACUAAUUUACAAUAGGAUGUUUGAAAAGAUAAUGUAGAGAUGACUGGAAAAAACAUGAAAAUGAACUAAGUCAUGUCAGUUAAUUUUAAUUUCUAUAUAAAUUUUUUUAGAUACAUGCCUAUAGUUGCUACAUAACCAAACCUUUAUUAUUAAUACGUGAUUAGUGAGGUUAUCAUGCUUUCUUGAAAUACAUAGAGAGAUCCUGAGAGCUGGAACCUAAUUCUAUUUCUUUCAGAACCUAAUAUUUAAUUUCUUUUAUGGAUAGUCUAUGUAUUUUUUGUUUCAUGAUUCUUUAAAAUUAUGUUUACAUAAACUACACAAAAAUAAAUGCCAAUAACCCCAUUUGUUUCCUGACACAUACUGAGAUAAUCUCAGUAUGUGUCACAUAUUGUGUUGCUUUAUGUAGAGAUGUUCACGCUAUGAUGAGGCAAUACCUCAUGAAUCAGUUCUAGAGGCAGUGCAGCUUUGGGGUGGAAUUUCGGGAGUGUUUUGCCUCUAGGUUUUACCUAGGAUGACUGAUUGUAACUGAUGCAAAGGAAAGGGACUGAAGUCAAGAACAGAGGUGCCAACUAUCACAAACUACAUGGGUGUUUUCCCAGAUAUAAUGUCCUGUGAUAGCAAGGGGAGAACAAAUUUAUGUACUAAUAAAUUCACUUUUUUCCUUCAUCAGUAAAGACAGCGUGAUAAAGUGUCUUAAAGUGAAACAUGAAAAAUUUACAAAAGAUAGGGCUUUGAAUUUAGUCUAAGAAAGAGUUCCUAAAUUUGCAGGGUAGACUCUCAAAUAUCCUUAUCUAAUAAAAUAUUUAAAGGAAUACAGCUCAUCUCUCUGGCCUGGUUUAAAAGUAACCUGUCCAGAAGUAGGAAGAUGGGCCAGCAUCGUAUAAUCUUACAUACAACUUACCAGCAGUACAGCACCAGGAAAACAUGUAGGUAAGUCAAGUUUAUCCAUGUUUCCUUCACUCUCAUCGUGCUAGGUACAGAGUUUUAUUCUCAUUUACUAUCAUGUAGUAAUGGUAAAAUUAUAGUUUUCUGUUUUUAAGGUUAAUAACUGUUAGUACAUGUUUUUGUUUUUCAAUCUGAAAUUUGCAUGUAGGUUUUCAUUCCUUUGGUUCUUAAAUGUUUUUUGAUCUUUUAUAUCUCUGUCAAAUUAUAUCUGCUUUUGGAAAUGAGUUAUACUCUAAGCCUACUUAAUGAGCCCCCUAUGGGGAUAAGUAGACAGUCUGAAGAGAACAAAGGAUAAGCUUGUCUAAGAGGAAAUAACAAGAAGGGACAUACUUUAAAUAGGGUAGUCCAGGAAUGCUUCUCUUAGGAAGUGACAUUUAAAGUAAUAUCUGAAGGGUAUAAAGAAAUCGGCAUGGUACAGCACCUACACUGAAUUCCAGAGGCAGCUACAUCUGGUUUUCCUUCCUUCCACAUAGAAGAAAAGCAUGCAGGAGCUCAUAGGCCUGGGCAUACAAAGAUGUCUACUCAGUGGCUUCAUUUUUAUUAACUUGGAAGCAUCCAAAUUACUGUUGACCUAAUAAAGUUUCCAUCUGUAAAAAGAAAAGUUGGAAAAAUUUUCCACCAAGAAAGCCUCAGAAUUAUGCCUAUGCUUUAUUCUUUUCUGCCUUUUUAACUUUCCUUCCUUCCUACUCCUCCCUCUCCACAAUCUCCUUCCCUUUCUUCUUCUGUCCUUCUUUCCUUCUUUCUUUCCCCAGACAUAAUUAUUGUGUUAUUCCCAUGCAUUGAGAAUCCACUGGAAUCUGCAAAUACAACAUUUCAUUGUUUCUAAGUCAAUAUUUUUUUAACUUUUAACAUCUGUGCGGUUAGAAUGCACUUUAUGUUCAAUGGUAUCUUAGAAUCAAUGAACUAUGAUACAAUGGUACAUAACAAUAAAUCUACUUUAAGAGAAACAAACAUUUUAAUCAAAAUCUAGGCAUCAAUUACAAAUUUUAAGUAAAUUUUCUAUAAGGAUUAGUGAAAAAGGCACUAAAUUCAAUCUACCUAUUUUUGUACAAGCUGUUCUAUUUAGACUUAUAUGCUUUACAACUCAAUAUUUGCUGUAUUCAUUGUUAUAAUUUUAAAAAUCUGAAAUAAUGGAAAGUCAUUAAUCAAAAAAAUAACACUUCAUAAAGCACACCUUAUAAUCUGGUCAUUAUGAAUAAAGCACCUUUCACUACCAAAUGGCUGUGUAGCUUAAUUAUGAAGAUGCAUACAUAGGAAAACAACAAAAUGGUAAUAAUUGCCAAACAGACUCUCUUCCAGGUGAUAGCAAAUAGGGAGGAAUGAGACACAGUAUACCUCCACAUUUCCAAUAGGUGAAGUGAGAAAAAUAGUAAAUGAAAUAGAAAAAAUAUUCCCCAAAUAGAUAGGAAUAUCAAAUAAUUGUCAUUUGAGCUAGCUCAAUGAAUGUGGGUCCCAGGACUUUUGCUGGAACCAUCCAGAAAGAAUAUAUUGUAAUCCUAGAAUUCCUCAGUGCCUUCUCAGCCAUAGAACCGGAGAAGCCUUCCUGAAAACAACAUGAUGCACAGGAAAAGACCUGAAAGUUGGAGGAAAAUGGAUUCCUGACCCUCGAUUCUGCCAUGCCUGAAGUCAGACUCCAGUGGACUUCCCAGUUACACAACCAUUCAUCACCAUGACAGCAUCAUCAGGAAUAGGAGAGCUGAUCACACACUCUUCCCCGCGGCAGGUGGUAGUACAGCUCAUUAAUUUGGAUGCUUGUUCUUCGAAUUCACUUCCUGCCUCAUGGUGCUCAUUUCUCCUUCUGUGAGGAAGCCCAACUGACAGAGAGGUGCAGAUUGGAGAACAAUGUAGAUCUCUGGGCCACAACCCAAGCUGAGCUCAGCCAUAGCAAACACCCAUUUGCCAACCUUUUGGGUGAGCCCUCUUGAAAGUACCUUCCAGCCUGAUGCUGCAUGGAACAAAGAUGAGAUGUCCUCUACUUUGCCCUGCUCGAUUUACAGAUUCAUGAACAAAAUAAAUGACUAUUGCUUUAAGCCGUGAAGUUAUGGCGUGGCUUAUACCUCAAUCGAGAAAUGGUUUAUAACCUCCAUAGAUAAAUAAUACAAAAGCUAAAUUUAUUUAAGAUGAUAGAUGCCACUGUUCCAAGUGCUUUAUGUGAAUUGUCUUCUCAGCAAGUAUUAUUAACACAUAUUUAAGUUAUGACAAAACUAAACUAAAGCAUUUUCCCCAAGUUAUAUAACUAAGUGGUGACGAAUUCGAUACAGAGAAGAAGAGGAGGAAAGGCGAGUUGAUGGUCACUAACUUAUAAAUUUGGGGUGUUAGUGGUGCCACUGCCUGACAUAAUAAGUAAAGAAACAUAUAAAAAGACAGGAAAUACGGGAAAGAGGUAAAUCAGGUUUAGGGGGAAGCUGUUAAUGUAGCUUUGAACAUUUAGGUAAGGAUGCCUAACAGCAGCACUGACUGUAUGAGUCUGUAGUUCAGAGUACUUAGAGCUAUAGAUAUAAACCUGGAGACUAUUAGAAUAUAAAUGAUUAUUUAAAUUUUGACAGUUGAUGCAAUCACACAAGAUAAGAAUGCAUAUUUGGAGAGUAAGAAGAGAAUGAAACUCUGGUUAGGAUAAGAUUUAAGGUUUGAGGAAUGAAACAAGAAAAUGCAAAAAAAAAGCAGGAAGAAAACCAAUAAAGAAUAAAAUGAAGACAUUCAAGGGGUAAAAUAAUUUCAAAUGAGGAGAGAUUAGCCAAUAUUUUUAAGUUCUACAGAAAGACAAGUGAAAUAAUGUCUGGCAAGCAGGAGGUGAAUUUAGCAACAGAACUUUCAGUGGGAUGGUGAGACUGGAGGACAGUUUACAGUGGAUUGAGAAAUGAAUGAGAAUUGAGAAAUUGGAAACUAUGAAGGGCAUCAUGUAAGAUUUUUUUUUUUGUUUGAAAAUGACAGGAAAAGUCAUACAACUAAAAUGACUUAUGCAAAAAGCUAUCUAUUGGCUCAUGUCACUAAAAUGCCCAAGAGUAUUUCUGGCUUUAGUCACUGCUAGACUCAGCAGCACCAGUGAUGUCACCAGGAUCCAGUUUCUCUCCAUUGCUCUGCUAGCCCUUCUUUGCUCCCUUUUCAGCUGGGCCCUCCUCUUUGUGUUGGCAGACAGCCUGUUGCAGCUCCAACACUAGGUAUUUCCAUUUUCCAAAGCCUUGGAAAAGAAAAUCCACACUUUCUCCAUUACUUCUCAGCCUUUUGGCUAAGAUCAAGUGAAAAUCCACUUUCUCAAUAACUCAAAAAAAAAAUCCUAAAGUUGAAUCUGAUUGGAUCUGAUGGAUCUGACUUGGGUCACUUGUUCUCCCUUUAAUCAAUAAUUGUUGCUGAGGUAAAUCGAGUAUUGAUUAGACGAGGUUUACAUCACAAGGAGGCCGGAGGGAAUGCUUCCUCUGAGAGAAUCAGGUACUGAUUUCCAAAAGAAGGCAGAAGGGAAGCUAGCAGCAAAAACAGCAGUCAUGGUGAUUAUGAACUAUUAUCUCAGGAAGCUUGGCUGCAGAAGCAAGAAGAAAGAGAGAACUAUACUUAGAGUGAAAUUUAACUAGUGUAGGAAUGAGGAGAGUUUUAAGGAAAAGAUAGCUGAAACAGGGAAGCUUAAGAUGUCAGAGGGAGAAAGAAUGGAUAAAAAAGAACUAAUGAGAGAGGAAGGAGUUGACUGCCUCAAGAGAACAGUUGGCAGAAAUAGCUUUGAGCAGGAGGAGAGAUGCUGCUUCCUUUGAGACCAGAUGAGGGGAGGUAAGGCUGGAUACAAAUAUAAAGUAGUUUUUAGAGGAAGGAGCAGGACAUUCAGGAAUGUUAUGACCCCUGUUUUAUCUGUGAUUUAGGAAGGAAGGCCAUGUGCAAAGAUUGAGAAAGAGGCGUUAGCUAGGGAAGGAGUACAGUGGUUUCUCUGGAGAAAAAGAGAGUUUGGAGAUGCAAGGCAAAUUAUUGGAUAACACCAAAUUUUAAAGAAAAUUCCCAACUUAGCAAUUUUAUCUUUUAUAUGAAUGCCAUUAGAAAUUUCAAUGAAUAAAACAGAACAUAGAUAUCAGCCCAUUCAAUGGAAAUUUAAAAUUAAAUUAUACUAAAAAUGAAGAUUUUUCAUCCACUUAUAAUCUAGCUUGGGGAUUAUGUUAGCAAGUAAUCUUUGUUGGGAAAAUGAUUAAUAAGUUUAUUUGCAGUUCUGAGACCUCUAGAAUCCUCCCUGUGAGAGCUGAUCUGUAGAAGACAAAGAGAGUAGUAUUUUGUUUAUUUCCCCCAGCUUUAUUGAGCAUUGUAUAACAUGAUGUUUUGAUUAUAUGUAUACAUUGUGAAAUGAUUGCCAAUGUAUACAUAUCCAUUCACGUAUUUUCUUUCCAUUCAUCUUUUGAUGGUCACUUUCGGUUGAUUCCAUAUCUUAUGUAUUGUAAAUAAUGUUGCAGUGAACAUGGGAAUGCAGGUAUCUCUUUGACAUACUGAUUUCAUUUCUUUUGAAUGUAAACCCAGUAGUGAGAUUGCUGGAUCAUAUGGUAGUUUUAUUUUUAAUUUUUUUUUAAAGAUCCUCCAUGCUGUUUUCUAUAAUAGCUAUAUUAAUUUAUAUUCUCACCAACAAUGUACAAGAGUUCCCUUUUCUCUUCAUUUUUGCCAAUACUUGUUAUCUUUUGUCUUUUUGGUAGCAGAUAUUCUAACAGUUGUAAAGUGAUAGCUUAUUGUGGUUUACUUUGCAUUUCCCUGACUAGUGACAUUGAUCAUUUUCAUGUACCUGUUGAGAUUUGUAUGUCUUCUUUUGAAAAAUAUCUAUUUAGGUCAUUUGCUUAUUUUUUUAAUUGGAUUAUUUGUUUUCUUGCUAUUGAGUUGUUUUAGCUAUUAACCCCUUAGCAGAUGUAUGGUUUGCAAAUUUCCUCCCAUUCCCUAGGUUGUCUCUUUACUUGGUUGAUUGUAUCCUUUGCUGUGCCAAAGCGUUUCAGUUUGAUACAAUCCAGUUAGACUAUUUUUAGUUUUUUAUUUUUUUAAGAAUAAGGUAGAAAAUGAGAGAAAAAGAAAGAAUGCAAAGAAGACAGCAAACUAAGGAAAGACUGCAUUCUUUUUGUAUGAUCUUCAAAUCUUCAGUAAAAUGUCUAAACUUCUGAAGUGAUUGGUAAAAGCAGGUUUUGUUUUAUUUUGUUGUAAUACCUACUAGUGAAGGACCGUGUUUUAAUCUGGGUUGAUGCAAGUAGAAUCCAAACAAUGCUAUAAACACGAAAGCAUGGAAGCUGGAGAUAUCUGGGCACCACAUCACUAAGAAUGAAAGGAAAGGCUCAGGAAUUGUACUACAGACUAACUAUAUUUUUUCCUGGAGGAUAUAUUCACCAGUGAAAAUAUAUAUUUUUCUGUUCAUCCUCUUACAUUUAUUAAAAUAAUAUCAGAAAAAGGAAUCAUCCGUAAAACAAAAUAAAAUAUAAAAUAGAUAUUAUUUCCAUAGCAUAUAGCCAUUUAGUUCAUAAAAAAUAUGAUUUGGGAUUCUAUGAAUUUGGCAAGAUGUCUUCAUAAUGUUCAUCUCUUUGUUUUUUACCUUCAAACUUUUUUUCUUUCAGGAAUUGAGUGUAUACUAUAAAACGAGAGAAUAAUUGCUGCAAUUGUUGAAAAUCAAUCACUUUAGAUGCACCUUACUUUGAGACUACAAACUACAAAAUAGUAAAUAUAUUUGUCUAAGGUAUAUAGAUUACAAUUAUCAUUCUAUGAGCAUUCUGUUUAUCUGAGAAAAAGAAAGAUAUUUCACUACUGCCAGUUCCAGCUUUGGACUUUGGAAGACGCAGAGUGUUUUCAUCCAAAUUCACUACAAUAUUAUUCUAUCCUCAUGAAACCUGCAAGGAAGCAGGGAAGGGUGUUGGCUUCAUUCUUAUAGCUCCUGAGAUAGGGUAAGUGAUUUGAUGAGGACCACCUACCUGGUAAUUUAGAGCUUCUCAGCCCAGGUUUGUGUAAAUAGAAGCAGGCAGAAAGGUACUGAUCCCCAAAGUCUUCAGGCAAGAGGAAAUACGCACUCCAGCCUCCCCCGACACACAUACAAAUACACAUAUGUGUGCAUGUGCAGCAGGAGCAGCUUCUGGUGUGUCCACAGCCUCCAUUUGUUAUUGUGCCAUGACAGGAAACUGUGAUGGAGGAAAUUCAAAUCCGAUUCCAAGUGUGGAUCCAGUUCCACCUCUGCUUCUUCAAGAAAACCCUGACGUUCGUUUCUUACAAAUUAACUUUUAUAAAAACACAACUGCUUUAUCUACGUUUUCUUUGUUCAACACACACAAUAUUUACAGAGCUCUGCAGUGUGCCAGCUACUUUUUGAGCCAAAAUUCAAUACUUCAUCAUAUCCAAUGAUUGAUUACAAAGAACCAAUGGGCACUGAUGUAAAAAUACCAGUGCAUCUGUUUUGCAGUCUAUUAGCAUUUGCCCAGUCAAAAAAAAUUCUGUCCCCUCAUUAUGCUUGACCUGAGUACCAGGUCUUACAAAUCAUCCCUGGUAGUGGCCGCAACCUACCAUCUCAGUGAAUUUCUCUCUGUGAGAUAUGAUCUUGUUAUUUCUCAUAUCCAAACCUAUUUCUCUACCCACUUUGAACCUGGGCUCUAAUUGUGACUUACUAUAACCAAUAGGAUGUGGCAGAAAUAAUGCUCUGAAUUUCAGAACCUAAACAUCAAAAGACUUUAUAGUUUCCAUCUUGAGCUUCUUGGACUACUCUCUUUGAUAACCACGGCAUGGAUCAUUCCAGAACAAGAGACUAGUUGGAGAAAAGGGGCCGGUUUUCCCAGCUGAGUCCAGUGAAUGGAUAGAGUAGAAUAAAUAAACCUAGGGAAACCAGCACAGGAACUGCCCAGCUAACCCAAAGAAAUGUGAGAAAUAAUUGCUGCUACUUAAAGUCAGG